rnacentral:misc_RNA from 1 species
UUCCUCCCCACCGCGCGCUCUUACGUUGUUGAUGUCUUCCGCGAAAUGUAAUGAAUAAUUGGCGUCUUUUUGUGGGCAGUGUUAUUGCGGUGCAUUGCUGUUCGCGCCGUGCAUGUCUCACCGUUUUUUUUUAUUAUCAUUCCUCAUAUCAUUCCACACAUUCGUAAUCGCUCAUGUAUGCACGUGCUGGUUCUUUCUUUUUUUCAUUUAUUUUCUUUGUUUUGUUUUUGUUUUGAUCUGUUUCUUUGUCUGUCUUUAUGUAUGAAUGUAUGUCAAAGGCGUUACUUGCCGUGUUUCAGACCAUCACUUCUCUUCAUAUAGCCUCACUCAUAGAUGUGUGUGUGUGUGUGUGUGUGUGUGUGUGUGUGUGUGUGUGUGUGUGUGUGAGCGUAUUUAAUAACACAUGUAUUUGGGAUUAGAGUCAAUUUCAUGUUGUCUCUCUCUCUCUCUCUCUCUCUCUCUCUCUCUCUCUCUCUCUCUCUCUCUCUCUCUCUCUCAUUUUCAAACUUCCACAUUGAACUGUUCUGAGUUUUAGUGUUCUUAGGAAGCCAAAUUCCUUGACAUUGCAAGCAUUAUAAGAUUUUAUCAAUACUUCUUCGAUCGCAUAGUUUUCUCUCUCUCUCUCUCUCUCUCUCUCUCUCUCUCUCUCUCUCUCUCUCUCUCUCUCUCUCUCUCUCUCUCUCUCUCUCUCUCUCGUGGGAUAGAGGUGCGGCACGGUACAGCAAUGAGAGAGUGUGGCGAAGUUGGUGAUCGCCCUAACGCAGACGACGUAAGGAAAGGUGGAAUGGGGCGGGGAGGAGAGAGGGAGGGGGAUGAUCGAUGAUGGCUGGAGGUGGCUUAGAGGAGGUGGAGGUAGAGGUAGUGGUGGUGGUGGUGGUGGUGGUGUUGGUGGUGGAGUCCGGCGGUGUGCGUGUGGUGCCCUCAGUCAGUGCUCAGCCCACACUGCUGCUGCUACUGGUGCUACUGCUGCUACUACUUCUUCGCUGUGUCGGUUAGCAGUGCACCCUCCGCCCCUCUUCUCUCCUCCUAUCUCACGCCUCGUCCUCGUGUUAACAUUCCUAAUCUUUCCAUUCUUAAUUAAUUUUUUUUGGUUCACUAUUUGUACCAUUCCUCGCUGUACCACCAGUUCCUUUUAUUUUUUUUUCUCGCGUUUAACUUUUGUGCUAAUGUUACUAAUUCUAGAUAUUCUUAAAACUUUUUCUUUUUAUUUCAUUGUUUGUGUCAUUCAUUCACUCAUUCUUUUUAUUCUUUUCCUUCCACGUCUCACCCUCGUGCUAACCUAACUAAUCUUUCUUGACACUCAACAUUUGUGCGUUUCUAGAUUUUUUAAUUGUUCUUCUUUUCAUUUAUGAGGGCUGUAUCUCCCUCGUGUUCCUCUUUCAGUGUUUUGUAAAGUGCUAACGUUUACCAUUCAUCGUCUUUAUUUUCUAACUCCAAAGUCCAGAACACUUUUUUUUCUUGUUUCUUAAUUUUCGUCACAAUACGUACUAUUCUCAGUUUUAAUUCCACUGACUCACCUCGUCACUGUCCUAACCUUCCCUUCGUCCCUCAGCCUCACAAACACUUUCCUUCACUCAUCAAAAUCUCUCAAAUUCAUAUCACUGUUUCCAUUUUGCCAUUACCGCUUCUCCAAUCUCUCUUUUUUUUUUCUUUUUCAUCUCCACUUUGCCUCGUUGUCAAUUCAUUAUCACCUUUUAGUCAAUUGCCUCCAGUUCACUUCAGUCUUUUCUGUUAUUUUUCAUUCAUAUUAACUAUUCACCGUGCUGAAUUCCUUUCUGUACGUCAACUUGAACUUAUUACAACCUUCUGUUUCUCAUCUAUUCUUUCUUUUCACGCUUUUAUUCUGUUUCUGUUAAUACUAUAUUUCUUUCUCUAAAAACACACUGUAUUUCACUUCUCAUAGCUCGUCCCUUUCUCUUUCCCUUUCCUUCGUUACUCAUCCUUCACAUGCAGAACUUUCAUCCCUCACGCUUCUUAAAGAUCUAUUGAUAAUGUAUACUUUCCUCUCAAAACUAUUACACGUCAGUUUUCUCACUCCUUUCCUCCUAUUUAUCUCUCACAGAACUUCUCUCCCCAUGUCACUGGUAACGAAAAAUACGCGGGAGGGGAGAGGGGACGAAUAAGUGACAGAAAAUCGAGUGAUAGAAAACGAAGUGACAAUUUAAUAUAUGACUUUUGUGGCCGCGCUUGAAAAGAUUAUAAUUGCGAGUCAGUGUUAGUGAGUUAGUGAGGCCGUGGCGUGGUGAUACGUGUGGCGCUGCGGUGGUGUGGUGUGGUGUGCGUGUAUCUUUGUGCGUGUGUGUCUGUUUGUGUGUGUGUUGUGGUGAUCAUCCCAUCCCGUGGACACCAGGAGCCACGGUCACGAAGGAUGCCCGUGUGAAGGGGAGGAGCAUGGCGCAGGAGCUGGGGGCGGAGGGGGACGCCUCAGGAGAAGACUCUGACGGGCCCCGCAGCGGCGCCAGCUUGUGAGUCUCGCCAUGGCCACCUUCGAAAACUUCCCCACGCCCAACGACACGUACGAGACGCUUCUGCCCCUCGCCUGCACGCCACCGCCCCCGCCCCCGCCCGCCCAUGAAGGCUCGUACGCCCCCACCUCGCCCGCCAUGGGAUGCCAGGCGUCUCUGCCUUUGCCCGCCUCACCGCCCCGCUCGGUGCACUCCCGCCCAAGCUACUCAGACUACUUGGCGUCUUUCCGCGCGGCGUCCCGGGCCGCCGAUGGCCCCCAGACCUUGGAACCACCCUCAAUCAGGCCCUCCUCCGCAUCGCCCGACUACUCGUGUCUUCCAAAGGACAAGAUUCACUUCAUCCUGUCCCUGAAGGAGGCCCUGAAGCGGCACGGCACCGUCCCGGCCUCCUUCAACAAGCUGGGCUUCUUCGAGGAGGUGCACAAGCUGCUGGCUGACGAGGUGUGGCAGAUCCGCAACGAGGCCACGCUGCUCAUCCUGGACCUGCUGCCCUACCUCGGUCCUGACCUGGACGCCUGCAUGGCCAUCGUGCUGCCUCACCUCGUGCCCAAUCUCGGUGACCCACGCCACCUGCUGCGCCGCUCCUCCCUGCGCCUGCUGAAGGCCUACGCCGCCAUCAGCAGGGACCCCGAGGGCCUGGUGGACGACAUCAUCACCUACGGCGUGAGUCACCGCAGUCGGCGUGUGGGUGCCCAGGUGAUGGUGAGCCUGGAGCACCUGAUGCGUGAGGAGACUCUGCGUGGCGUGGACCUGGCGCCCCUCGCCCGCGCCUUGCUGGCCAAGCUGCACGACGUUGAGCUGCAGCCCGCCGCCCUGUUGCCCCUACUGGCCCUACGCAGCCUGGUGGGCGACGCCACCUUCACCACCUACCUGAGUCACCUGAGUGCUGAUUCCCGGGAGAAGCUUGACCGCCUGGUGGUGGAGGGGGAGCCGCCCCCCGACGACGACACAGACGUGGUGGUGGUUAGUCGCUCCUACAGCAGGCACUCCACGCCUCGUCCCGCUGCGGCCUCUGACAAGGAGUACGGGGUGGUGGACGCCGCCACCAUGAACAAGAUACGACACUCGGAGGACUGGAAGACGCGAGCGGAGGGGUGUGAGGAGCUGCGUGGUGUGGUGAAGAGCCUGGGGGACGCCGCGCCCUUGCUGCCUCACCUGCCUCACUUCCUGCAGCUCCUAGACUCCCUCUUCGACGACAACAACUUCCGCAUCUCCCUCACCGUGCUGGACAUCUUCAGGCUGCUCCUUGACCUGCUGGACAAGGGCACGCUGCUCGACCACCUUCGCCAGUUGGUACACGCCGUCAGGAAGCACGUGGGCGACUCCAAGGUGGUGGUGCGGAUAGAGAAUAUGCGUGUCUUCCGGCGGCUACUGCAGGCCGCCUCCCCUGCCGCGGUAGUGCCCAUACUCUGCGACGCUCUCAGCUCCCACCGCUCCUCACGCGUCAGGGAGGACUCGCUCAACCUCAUCAUCUACGCCCUCAUGACCUUCCCCAGCUAUGAGUUUGACCUGAGGCGGCUGGCGGAGCGGGUGAGCGUCAGUGUGGCGGACCCCAAGCGGCGGGUGCGGCACGCGGCGCUGGAGUGUCUGGCGGCCAUCGCGCAGUUCCUCGGCCCCGCCAAGCUCGGCCCCCUCUUGACGGCCGUGGACAGGGUGGAGGAAGAGGAGGAGGCCCCCGGCGCCUUGGAGGCCGUGCAGGCGCGGCUGGCAAGGCGGCAGCUGCCCAAGGUGUCCCCUGACGGCCUGAUAGAGUUCUCCUUGGUGGUGCCCGCGCCCGGGAGACACUCCAGCCUUGCGCGGGUCAAGGGCGCUGACGUGGACUGGGUGCUGGCGGGGGCGGGGGGAGGGGCAUCAGGGUCUCAGGGCGUGGGGUGGCCUUCCUCCCUCUCCGCCUCCUUCACCGCCUCGGACUCUUACGUCAACAAACUCGCCUUCACCCACCCGCAGUCCUCGCCCACCCAGCGGCCCAGACACGUCCAGCUCGAGGAAUCGCUCCACAGAAAACGGUCCAUAUCAGACGUGACGCUCGACAAGACGGAGGAUCGAGGCCUGUCUCUCUGGACCACAGACACCAUUGAUCUCAACAGGACGGCGCCCUCUGACCUCGGAGGAGGCUAUCGCGGCGUGUACCUCGGCAGGCUUCGUCAGGAGUCCGCCGUGCCCUCCUCCUCCUCCUCCUCCUAUUCUCCUUAUCCACGAGACGGCAAUGUGGUUGACAAAGGCUACUCACUGCUGCCCAAUAAAUACGGCGCGGGAGGAGGGGGCGGCACCGGCGGUUUGGGCAGCGCGAGAGGUGGGGACCGACCCGCCAGCCGCUCCCCAUCCAUGCCUCGCAGGAUCAACGCCCUCGCGCCACUCGACCAAGGCGAGGGGUUGGUAGUGAGUCGCGCUACCUCCACUCGUAGCAUCAUCCCGCCACUCUCUGCUGUGUCCCGCCGCUCCCAUGUCCACGACCUACGCCACCACUCACACCACCCUGACGACUUCGACGAGGAGGACGAUAAUGUCAAGUCAGACUUCUACGAUGACGAUGAAGGGGAGGACGUGGCGAGUGAGGAAGAGGUGGAAGAGGAGGAGCAUGUGGUGAGGGAGAACAUGCUAUUGGAAAGUCAAAUCUCGCGCCCCAAGAGUUCUGCCACCACGCGAGACAGCGGUAUCUCCGUUUUCUCUUCUAGCAAUGACGCUGAGGCGCACACAGAGAACGGAAAGGGGAUGGUUGGACACGAGAAGGAGAGGAGUAGGAGUAGAUAUAGCAAAGACACCGCCACGCCCUCGCCUCAUCCCUCGUCCCCCGCCUACAGCUUCUCCUCCGGUGAUGAACAAGGGAGGUCGUCUUUUGAUGCGGCGCAGGCAGGCAGGAGGAGAAAAGGAGCAGAUGCCACCUCGCCCUCCCGCCACUCCCUGCCCAAUGACGCCCUUCUCUCCAGCGGCCUCGGUGUGGUUGGCAAGGGUGUUGUUGGUGGCGGUGGCCGCUCCCGCACUAAUCACAAUGAUAAGGAUUUCCGAAACUUUGACUACGAGAGUGACUUCGAAACGGACGAGGAGGACAUCAAGCUUGCCAACACCACUCUCACCAAGAUGAAGCUUCUCAGUAAAAAGCAAGAGAACAUGAAAGAGAUCGACCGUCGCCGCCAAGACCGGGAGACACGGCGUGCUCAGGAGGAGAGAGUCAAAAAGUACCGGCAGCUGGAGAUGCAGCACAGCCAGAACUCCCUGCAACCUUCCAGUGCUGACAGCGGGGACUCCAAGCUGUCCGUUCAUCCCAACCUGAGUUACCGGGGUCGAGACGCCAGUGCUCGCCGCACCUACCGCCGCAGUCCCCGCCACAGUCCCACACCAAGCCCCACACCCCUUGCCAGGAUACCCAAGAGCAGGAGUCACAAUGCAAACCUUAGCAAGGGCUUUAGCAAAGCCACCGAGAAGCGACACCGGUCGCUGGAAAGGAACAUCAACACUCAGGCCAACGGUGUCCACCCUCGAGAAACCUUCAGUAGAACGCCACAGCUGGUGAAGCGAGGACAACCCCCUGUAAGUUUUGGUGGUGGUGGUAGUGGACAUCUGAGCAACAGUCUGGGCAGCAACAGACGAUAUGCCAAGCGUCCACCAGACAGGACCCCAGACUAUCCCACCACCCCAAUGGAAAGUGUAGGGCUGAGGAUAGCAAAGCCGGCCUCCUCAUGCUUCAAGCAGAACCUCGAACCUUUUGCCAGCCCACCUGAUGCUCUCAGGAUUGCCAAUGAGCGCCUCAACUCCAAUGACUGGGAGGGUCAGGUGGAGGGGAUUGAGAUGCUGGUGCGGCUGGCUCACCACCACCCAGACACUGUGCUGGGCAACCUACGCAACAUCAACAUGUCCCUCAUGAAGCAGGCUAAGAACCUUCGCUCCCAGGUGUCCCGCGCUGCAAUCCAGGCCUUCACCUGCUUCUUUGAUACUUUCAAACGCAGCAUGGAGGGUGAUGCUGAAAAAAUAGCAACCAUCCUGCUGAAUCGGACAGUUGACACCAACAAGUUCCUUCAGCUGGACAGUAACCAUGCCCUGGAUGCCAUGCUGGAGAACAUCACUCCCUCCAAGGCCAUUCCUGCCAUCCUUCAAGAGGGACUUGGUCACAGGAAUCCCGCCGUGAGGACCAAUGUGGCGCGACUGGUGGCCUACGAGGUGGAGAGACUUGGGGCCAGCCGUGUGUUGUCGGGCCAGAAGGACAUCACGGAUCGAGUGCUGCUGGCCGCUGCCAAGCUGGCUCAGGAGGGGAGUCUGGAAACAAGACAAUACGCCAAGCAGAUAUUCCAUCCCUUGAUUCAGCAAGGUCAGUUUGAUGCCGUCCUCAAAAAAUAUGUGCCAGCCAAUGACAUCAGGAAUCUACAGAAGCUCCUUGAUAAUUUGUCCAAUGAGGGCCGCACUGUCCAUGACUCUGCACGCACCAAGUUUGCCACCGGCUCCCGCUACACCAGGACCAUGUGAAGCUGCCAGACCAAUCCUUUCAUGCAUGUCAUUUGGUGUUCAUGAUGCAUUUUGUAUCUUUAAGUCCAACCACAAAUGUUAUGUUUUGUACCUACGAAAAGAAGAUGGAGAAGCUGAUAUGGUAUAAACAUUUUCAUAGCUUGUGAUGAUGGUGGGAUGUGAUACAGGAGGUGUCUGGAAGAGAACCACCACCAUCCUCAGCAGGUCACACGUCCCUUCACUCUGAGCACCUACUAGGGUGCGUUGGAACCCUCUCAGUCAUUCUUGUUCCACGAGCAGAUCCAGUCAUUAUAUGCUGAGUUGAUAUGAUUUAUUUAUAUAUAUAUGUAUAUGUAUAUUUGUUAUUUUGACUGAAAAGUUGCUUAUUUACCUUAAUUCAACAAUGAAUGACAAAUUGUGCUUCAGUUCCUGUUUAUUAAUGGAAAAAUUUAUUUACUUAGUUGUUAUCUGGAAAUGGAGUAAUUUGUAAAAGUGUGUGACGCAAGUAACUGAUGUUUUCUCUCUUCUCCAAUCUUCAGUUUUUUUCAUGUUUUCCUGUGGAGUUAUUAAACUUUACUAAUCUCUUCCACCUAUCUCCAUCAAAGAUACUAUAUAUUCGCUUGUUAGCACUUCAUCCACAUACAUGUAGUCUUCAUUUGGUUAAUUGAUGAUAAUGGCUGGCAUAAAAAUUAAGGGAUUCAUAGAGGGACAUAAAGGCUUAUUUCUCCUAUUGAUUAAGAAACCUACUGAGUCUGUGAUGCAUAAAUCUAAGUGGACAUGGAGAGCACUGCAGGGCCAAGGCAGGGCGGUGCAGGCUGGGUGUGCUCCUUGUGAUUCAGGCUUCUGUUGUCUAGCGGCCAGGAAGAGCAGCUCAAUCAGGAUUUUGUGGGAACAUUCUCUGCUGUUGAAAGUUUAUGAGAUUCACACUUGUCCGUCCAUUAUUAUUCAGGUUUUCUUUCUUGUAGAUAGAAUUGUUUACUCUUUACAUGUAAAUAGAGCAGGUAUGACUUUAAUGUUAGAUUGGGACUUUAAAGCCUUUCUCAAAGAUUGCAUUAGUCUCAGUACUAAUUAGAAAAGCUGACUAUUUGCUCCAGAGAAGGUCCAGAAUUUUAUGUAAAUAGUUAUUAUAUCAGAUAUUAUCUGAAAUUUAAUGCAGAGACCUAUUUCAGUUAAUUUUAGUGAAUGGCAUGGUGGUGCUAUAUAUAUUUGUAUAUGCUGUUAUACAUUUCAUAUAUUUAUCUAAUCUUUAUAUUUGUGCCUAAGGUUUGCACAAAUGGCUAAGUGUCACCAUUCCCUAUCCCUAGUCAUCCUCUCAUGAUGGCGUGCAUAUAUUUGGCUCGGUUUUGUCAAGUCUUCCUGUGGAUCAGCAAGAUCUUGUUUUUUUUCUCUUUAUUUUCUAGUGAAGCAAACUCUUACAUUCCUGUUUAUCAACCAGGAACUCUUAAGAGAUGCACAUGAUAUCAAUUUUUUUUUUUCUCCAUUUAAUAAGCAGGUAUCUUUAGUUAGAAACCUUUUAAAUGAACAAUGACACUCUUUAUUAAAUUACUUGUAUUUACCAUGACUGUCUUUGGAGGAGCAAAGCAUUUCAGUGUGCAGUGCUACACUUUGAGGAAUUAUGGAAAUCAAAAUGUAGUUCUAGCACAUUUGUGUCAGUGGUGGGGCCAGAGGUCGGUGAUGAACACACAGAUACACAUUCAUCUUUCUCCACACCGGGCUAACACUCCCAGCAAGGAGAGACAGCUGAGGCAAGGCAAGACAUCCCACAGACACUCAAUGACUUCCAUAAUCACAUCACAUGCAUUCCCUUACAAAAAUAUAACAUCCUGGCCUCAUCAUGCAUACUCAUACCUAAAUAUUUGGAUAGAAUCACAAUUAAAUUGUAAUAUAUAAAGUUGCAAUAUAUAUAAGGUUAAACUUAUGGGUGUCAGCAGGUAAAUUAGGCUGUGACACAUGAACUCCUGUUGAUAAUGGCAGUCAAAAUAGGGAAGUGCUGUGUUGGUCUGUGUGAAGGAGUAUGAUAGAUCUUAAGACCUCCUUCGUUACAUGACAUACUCAUGAACAUGAGCUGAGCUUUUGUCUGCCUGUGACAAUAUAACACUUGUUAUCUACUUCAAUUAAGAUGAAAGAUUUGACAUAACCAUUUUUCCAUUUAAUGUCAGUGGUGUCUUUCAAAAUUAUACUUUAAGCUUGCACUGCUACAUUUCAUUAAGCUUGAGGAGAAGCCAGAGCAUUCAGAGUUGAGAGUUGUGGCUUCUGUCGGGAUUCACAAAUUGAUUGUUAUUAUUUCAAUUAUUUUUCCCACCAGUCUUAAUUCUCAUUUAUCAGAUAUCCUGUCAUAAUCUUGUAGAGACUCAGCAUUGUGCUAAGUUUAUUUCCUGUCAUUCCAACACACAACAUAUUUUGCUGUUGGGAAUGAAAACCCAAAUCACCCAUACUACAUGCAGAGAUGCCAGUGCCUCAUGAUCACUCAUUCCAUUGGCAUGCUUGACAGCCCCAUUAGGUCAUGAAGAGUCUCCACUCGCAUCAGCAGAAACAUUUACAAUUCAUGCUUAGGUCCUCAUGCAGUAGACAGGUAGUAAUGACAUCAAGGUAAAUUAUUACUUCCUCGCCAAAGACUUUGCUAUUUCACAGAGCAGGUUUUUUAUUUUGCCUGUAGUCAGUAGGUAUACAAUAGAAUUUAUGGUUGUAAAUAUUGUAAUAUCUUCUGUUUUAUAGAUAUCUGUAGGCAUAGACAGCGAUACAGGUAGGUACAGUCAUGGUCAGAAGCAGAGUAACCAUCUUCACUCACUUCCACUGUGUGUAGGGUUUUCCUGCAGUGCUGAUACAGUUAUAUGGGCAACUGAGUAGUGAAGGUGGUAGACAAAUCUCAUAUUGACCCAGGAAUACUUUACUUAUCUUAUGUUUUGACGAUAAGUACAUCUCUCUGAGGAAGACUUGCAGUCAAAAUGUUAAAGAAGUAAAAUAUUCUUGGGUCAACCUGAAAUUUGUCAACCACCUUCACUUUUCCUGCAGUGUUACAUCCUCUCACUUGCCAGACAUCUGUCACACCUCAGGUCUGGUCAGAUCAUCAGUAGAUCAGGAGGGGAAAAAAUUUAGAGGAAAAACUUUAGACACAACAGAAAUCAAUACAGAAUGUUACUCUUCCACUGACUGUGACUGUGCUGCUAUACUUUGUCUGACCCGUCCAAGUUCUCCGUCCGGGAUGCUGGAAGUCAUCUGUUUAGGACUGUAAAAGUUGAAUGUUAAAAAAAGAAAAAUAAAGCGUCAUUGUGUG